CGCGGAUCCUCAGAUGAAUCGGCUGAUGAAAGUGGUGCCAGCACGCGGUCUUCCGCCUCCAGCAGAUCAUCCAGAAAGAGGAAGAAGAAGAAGAAGAAGAGGCGGCGGAAAGACCGCAGCCUUUCGCCCAAGACUGCCGAUGAAGAUGGUGAUAGUGCCCAAUCG
rnacentral:SRP_RNA from 1 species